rnacentral:rRNA from 1 species
GAUUUCUGGUUUGACAUGCCUGGCCCGCCGGGGUCACCUGUGUGAGUGCCGGUGCGCGUCUACCAUCCUUCUGCAGAACGGCCUUACCCUUCACUGGGCCGAGGUCGCGAUGCAGAUCUUUUACUUUGAAAAAAUUAGAGUGUUUAAAGCAGGCUUACGCUGUGAAUACAUUAGCAUGGAAUAAUAAUUUAGGACUUUGGUCUCUAUUUUGUUGGUUUCUAGAGCUGAAGUAAUGAUUGAUAGGGAUAGUUGGGGGUGCUAGUAUUCACCGGCCAGAGGUGAAAUUCUUGGAUUCGGUGAAGACUAACUUAUGCGAAAGCAUU